CCUACGGGAGGCAGCAGUGAGGAAUAUUGGUCAAUGGGCGAGAGCCUGAACCAGCCAAGUCGCGUGAAGGAAGACGGUCCUAUGGAUUGUAAACCUCUUUUAUAGGGGAGUAAAAGACGCCACGUGUGGCAUUACGAAUGUACCAUACGAAGAAGCAUCGGCUAACUCCGUGCCAGCAGCCGCGGUAAUACGGAGGAUGCGAGCGUUAUCCGGAUUUAUUGGGUUUAAAGGGUGCGUAGGAGGAUUGUUAAGUCAGCUGGGAAAAUUUCCGGUUCAACCGUGAUAGUGCAGUUGAAACUGGGGGUCUUGAGUAGACGAGAAGUGGGCGGAAUGCGUGGUGUAGCGGUGAAAUGCUUAGAUGUCACGAAGAACUCCG
rnacentral:rRNA from 1 species